UACGUAGGGUGCGAGCGUUAAUCGGAAUUACUGGGCGUAAAGCGUGCGCAGGCGGCUUUGCAAGACAGAUGUGAAAUCCCCGGGCUCAACCUGGGAACUGCAUUUGUGACUGCAAGGCUAGAGUACGGCAGAGGGGGAUGGAAUUCCGCGUGUAGCAGUGAAAUGCGUAGAUAUGCGGAGGAACACCAAUGGCGAAGGCAAUCCCCUGGGCCUGUACUGUCGCUCAUGCACGAAAGCGUGGGGAGCAAACAGG
rnacentral:rRNA from 1 species